AGUCCCCUAGGCAAAUUAAUUUAAGCCGUCACCCUCUCAAGGUGAAAAUUGCGAGUUCAAACCUCGUCGGGACUCCCA
rnacentral:tRNA from 1 species